UGGGAAAUAUUGGACAAUGGGCGCAAGCCUGAUCCAGCCAUGCCGCGUGAGUGACGAAGGUCUUCGGAUUGUAAAGCUCUUUUGGCGGGGACGAUAAUGACGGUACCCGCAGAAUAAGCCCCGGCUAACUUCGUGCCAGCAGCCGCGGUAAUACGAAGGGGGCUAGCGUUGUUCGGAAUUACUGGGCGUAAAGCGCACGUAGGCGGACUGAUAAGUCAGGGGUGAAAUCCCGGGGCUCAACCUCGGAACUGCCUUUGAUACUGUUAGUCUCGAGUCCGGAAGAGGUGAGUGGAAUUCCUAGUGUAGAGGUGAAAUUCGUAGAUAUUAGGAAGAACACCAGUGGCGAAGGCGGCUCACUGGUCCGGUACUGACGCUGAGGUGCGAAAGCGUGGGGAGCAAACAGGAUUAGAUACCCAGGUAGUCCCUGAGCGGGCUGGCAAGGCGCAU
rnacentral:rRNA from 1 species